CACUUAUCAAACCUAUCAAAAUUAGAGUCCCCUAUCUCUGCUCUCUACAAAUCUAGCAUCUCCUCCCCAAUCUACAUCGACCUCCGCCUCAUCAUUUCCUACCCCUCCCUCCUCCGCCAAAUCUCCCAACCCUAAUCGCCGUCGUCCCCUCCUCCACCCACUACGACCUCAUCUGAGGUGUCCCCUAGACCGCCUCCCCAUCGCCACCUGCAUCAGGACCUCCCAUGACGUCCCAAUGCUCAUGCGCCGCCAAGGAGGUCAAGGACUACGGUACCGCCACGGCCAUCGAAGGCGAAUUCAAGCCCGUACAGGUCUGCCUCAUCAUUGAGGACCUCGUCACCAGCGGCGCCUUCGUUCUCGAGACUGCCUCGCCGCUCAGAGCGCAGGGUUGAAGAUUGAUGUAAUUGCUUGGUGAAGCUGGAAGAUUGGAGCAAACCUGAGCACUGACGCCUUUGAUGCAUAAUGUUCCUGAUGUACAAGUGUUUACACUCCUCUAGAGACUAAUGUAGUUGUUCAGCUUUCCGAGUGUCGUCAACAUUUGGAGCAAAUUGCUGGAAAGUAAUCCAACUAUGUUUCAAAAUAGUAAAACUGCUGAAUCAGCUUUUGGUGCAGCAAUCAAGGGAGCUUAUCAACAGAACGGAAACUUAGAGAAAAUGAUAAAGUGGUGGCUGAAGGAAAGAUAUCAUCAACAAACCCAAGUACAAAAGUUCAUUGUGUGCCUCUUGGACAGGAGUGUUGGAAGGUUUGGGUUGAUGUGGCGCUUGAUGAGUAUCAAACUCUGGAAGUGUAUAGAGCAACUAUGGAUGCCAAACAACUUGGCGAAGCUGUAGGAAGCACUCUUGCAUGGCCCAAAAGCUCCAUUAAAUUGCUUCCUUAUUAUUAGUUAAAAUAGCAGGUACAUUUUGUUGAUCUAACCUGCUUCUUUUGCUUUACUAUAAAACUGGAAGUACGUACCAGAACUGGAAAGUAUGUAUAAAUGAGCCCUCUGAUCUUUAUUUGUUCAAGAAUUAUGUAUCAGAACUUCAAUGAAAUGUAUAUUUUUCUUUUA